UUGCAAUGAUGAAAGUCCACGCUAUGAGCUCCCUGUUUCGUGCCAGAGCCCGAAAGGGAGAACCCACUGGUGCUGGCAGGGGGUCAAGAGAUAUCCUGUCUUCUGGACAGUCUGAGCAAC
rfam:Branchiostoma floridae genomic scaffold BRAFLscaffold_178, whole genome shotgun sequence.